CUCUGAGGGGCCCGUACAGCAGUCGCGCCAGGCUCGAAGAGGCGGGCCGCUGCUGGCGCCGGUCCCGGUGACGGCCACAGCGUGGCAGCAGCGAGCUCCCAGCACGCUCGCAAUAAAUAAUCUGCCCGAGGCAGCUACAGUCAGGCAGCCAGCGGCCCUAGGAGGCAAAUGCGGUGCUUUAUCUGCCCCUGCCCGGGGCGCACCCACAGCGUCGUCCAGCAAGCACCCUAAAUACCAACGCGUCCUUCUUAAUUGUCUGGCCUUUGCCGAGAUACUGUCUUCAGAUAGGAAAACAACAACAACCACCAAAACCCAAAUAAACAAAAAGAACUAUAGCUCAGAACCUUGCUAAUGAUUCUCUAGUGACUGUCUGGGGGGGGGGGCAAAUCUGACCUGGUCAGAUGCCCUUUCAGGCCCAGCCACCAUGGCGGGUACCACCGCGUAAUGCAAAGCUACAGCCAGGCCAGCAGCAUUCAGUGCCGCCUCGUGGCUAGCUGUAGUCCUCUCCUUGUGGCUUGGGAGGUAGGGGACCUCAGGCUGCCACUGACCUUAGGUGGCCUGCGACUGCCAUCCCGUUAUUUCUCAGACUCCGUUUUGCAACCUUCCUUCAUAAACCUUAGAUGCGGUCCUUCCACACGCGCCAACACAGCAGUCCCCAGCACCGAAACAUCCCCCCAGUAACACCCAAUUAAUUCGAUUCUCUCCUCCAACACAGAAUUCCACACAUGCACCUAGUCCCUUUCCCAGGGCUCCAGUCAUCACUCUGGUCGGAAAACCGGGCAAAUGAAGCGGGCAAUCAUCGGAGGACCCCGAAUUAACCCCGGCUCCCAGAAGCUCCUGCCUCUCUGACAGCUGUCGCUUCGGCAGCCCAGGAGACGAAUUGUCCUCCUUCCUGGUGCCAGAGGACGCAGGAAAUUAGCCAGGUUGUGAGUUGCAAAGCGGCGGCGGCUGCUGCUCCAGGAACUGGACGCGCCCCACCUCCAGCGACAGCGGCCGGCCUGGGCCUGGCAGCGGCUUCCCCUCGCUCGCCAUCGCCGGACAAAGCGCAGCCCAGGCAGGCUGGGAAGGCAGAGCUCCGAAGCACGCAGGACGGAGCGGAGCAAAAGAAUGCGGGCUCUAUUCUCACAAGGGAAAUUAUAAAAAAGUUCAUGUUCACGGUUCCUAUCCACAUGACCGACAGCGGCCAAUGGUAGGGCCGAACAACUCAUAAAGUUGUAUUGCAAAGUUGUAAAUUUUCAUAAACAACAACGGAUUUA